GCAAGUCGAGCGCGCCCUUCGGGGUGAGCGGCGGACGGGUGAGUAACGCGUGGGAAUAUGCCCUUCUCUAAGGAAUAGCCUCUGGAAACGGAGAGUAAUACCUUAUACGCCCUUUGGGGGAAAGAUUUAUCGGAGAAGGAUUAGCCCGCGUUAGAUUAGGUAGUUGGUGGGGUAAAGGCCUACCAAGGCGACGAUCAGUAGCCGGCCUGAGAGGGUGACC
rnacentral:rRNA from 1 species